UCAGGAUAUGGAGAUUCACCUAAUAGUAAAGACACAUAAUGACCUUUUUCCUCUGUGUAAUCUCUUUUUAUUUAUUUCUUCAGUUUCCUCACCCAUAACUACUACCUCCCUCUGUUUGUUAUACGAAUUGACCAAAGGUUAGUCUGUAGAUUCUUACAUCGAUCUUAUCACCUUUCACCAGCUUCCUACUUUGUGUCCUUCUGAAAUAAAGAUCCACUUCACUACUCGCCCUUUCUCUUAUGUUAGCACCAACAAUCUCCCAUUUCAAUUUCAUCUCAUCGCCACCCAAAGGUUGUGCCUUUUCCCGGUUGUGUUCCCCCGUGUUUUCCCCCCUUCCUCAAGUAAAAGUCUGCAAAUGCAUCCAUUAACCGCUCCACCUCCUUUUCCUCUAACGAAUUUGACACCUGAAAUCAUGUUAUGUUCUCAUUAAUGCUCGUAUCGUCCAUCUUCUUCCCCUCACAAAUUGCGUCAAACAAUUUAUUGUUUAUUACUAGGAACUUUCUUUGUUACGUUGCCAUCUUCUCUGCCCAUCUUGGUCGGCCCAAGAAACCAACACAACUUCCUUCUUCCACCUUUUUGCCCUAGUGACCCAUUUUCCUUUUCACUUUCUUGCACCUUGACCCUCUCGAACAACACACUCGCCUCUCUUUCUCUCCUUAGGGUCUGUUUGGAUGAUAGUUCAGUGAAUAUGGGUUUAUUAUUAUUCUUCUUCUAAACCCGACAUUGAAGAGCCACAAACCAUCUUCAUCUUCAGCUUCUCUUAUUUGAUCAGUUCCUUCAUGGUCGAUUGAACGAAAAUUGUUAUUAGGUGUCGUUCUAUUUUGGGAAGCCUGAAUAGGCGAGUUACGUGUGUGUUUGUGGCCAUCUCUGUUGUGGUGUGUGUGUGGCCUGUGUUGGCAGAGAUGAUGAAUUGAACAAGCCCUAAUGGUCAAUUGGCAGAGAGGACCAGAUAAUAGAUGGUCCGAAUGGGAGGAAAGAUGGUAGAUAUAUGCUGUAAUUGAGGCUAGAGACAUGGCCAUUUCUCUUUGGGAGGCUGUUGCUUAUUCUGGAUACCAAGAUUUUAAGUAUAAUUGUGUAUUGAAAGGAAAAAGGAAUUUUCAAACAAGAACUUAAGAUAAACAAAGAAAAUGAAAGGAAACUUGAAGAAAAGGGUUGUAGAGAAUAGUAAGUUUCUUAAAAGUUUGUUUAUAUGAUUUGAAAGAAAGA